rnacentral:rRNA from 1 species
CCUACGGGCGGCAGCAGUGGGGGAUAUUGCACAAUGGUGGGAACCCUGAUGCAGCGACGCCGCGUGCGGGAAGACGGCCUUCGGGUUGUAAACCUCUUUCGCAGGGGACGAAGGAGAUGACGGUACCCUGUGAGGAAACCACGGCUAACUACGUGCCAGCAGCCGCUGUAAUCCGUAGGUGGCGAGCGUUGUCCGGAAUUACUGGGUGUAAAGGGAGCGUAGGCGGGAUAUUAAGGUGAAUGGAUAAACGACGGGCUUAACCGAUAGAAGCGUUCAAAACUGGUAUUCUUGAGUGAAUUAGAGGCAGGCGGAAUUCCUAGUGUAGCGGUGAAAUGCGUAGAUAUUAGGAGGAACACCAGUGGCGAAGGCGGCCUGCUGGGCUUUAACUGACGCUGAGGCUCGAAAGCGUGGGUAGCAAACAGGAUUAGAUACCCUUGUAGUC